rnacentral:rRNA from 1 species
GACGAACGCUGGCGGCGUGCUUAACACAUGCAGGUCGAACGGAAAGGCCUCUUUCGGGGGGUACUCGAGUGGCGAACGGGUGAGUAACACGUGAGUAACCUGCCCUUGACUUUGGGAUAACUUCAGGAAACUGGGGCUAAUACCGGAUAGGAGCUCCUGCUGCAUGGUGGGGGUUGGAAAGUUUCGGCGGUUGGGGAUGGACUCGCGGCUUAUCAGCUUGUUGGUGGGGUAGUGGCUUACCAAGGCUUUGACGGGUAGCCGGCCUGAGAGGGUGACCGGCCACAUUGGGACUGAGAUACGGCCCAGACUCCUACGGGAGGCAGCAGGGGGGAAUAUUGCACAAUGGGUGGAAGCCUGAUGCAGCAACGCCGUGUGCGGGAUGACGGCCUUCGGGUUGUAAACCGCUUUCGCUCAUGACGAAGCUUUGUGUGACGGUAGUGGGUAAAGAAGCACCGGCUAACUACGUG